rnacentral:rRNA from 1 species
AGUGAACGCUGGCGGUAGGCCUAACACAUGCAAGUCGAACGGCAGCACAGUAAGAGCUUGCUCUUACGGGUGGCGAGUGGCGGACGGGUGAGGAAUACAUCGGAAUCUACUUUUUCGUGGGGGAUAACGUAGGGAAACUUACGCUAAUACCGCAUGCGACCUACGGGUGAAAGCAGGGGAUCUUCGGACCUUGCGCGAUUGAAUGAGCCGAUGUCGGAUUAGCUAGUUGGCGGGGUAAAGGCCCACCAAGGCGACGCUCCGUAGCUGGUCUGAGAGGAUGAUCAGCCACACUGGAACUGAGACACGGUCCAGACUCCUACGGGAGGCAGCAGUGGGGAAUAUUGGACAAUGGGCGCAAGCCUGAUCCAGCCAUACCGCGUGGGUGAAGAAGGCCUUCGGGUUGUAAAGCCCUUUUGUUGGGAAAGAAAAGCAGCAGGUUAAUACCCCGCUGUUCUGACGGUACCCAAAGAAUAAGCACCGGCUAACUUCGUG